AGAUUAAGAUUUAUAUGUAUUUUAUAAAAAAAAUAUUUUUUAUAUAAGUAUUUUUAUGAAUAUAAAGAUUAGUAUUAUAGUUUAUUGUAUAGUGAUAGAUCAUUGAAAUACAAGAAUUAAAGUUAAUAUAAAGAAGGUUUUAUUUAUUGUACCUUGUGUAUCAGGGUUUAUUAAAAUAAUUUAAUUACUUAGUUUUCUCGAGUUAAUAAGAGCUAAUACUAUAUAAAUUUAAUUGUUGAAUAAAUUUUUUUAAUAUAGUGUUAGAAAUGAAAUGUUAUUCGUUUUUUAAGAUAUCUAGUUUUUUAAGAAAUAAAUUUAAUUUAGAUUAUAUAUUUUAUUGUUUUUAUUAUUUAGAACGGUAAAUGUAUAAAUUAAUAUUUUAAGGGAUAAGCUUUAAAAUAAAUGUUUAUAAUAAUUUUUUAAUUUAAUGAAUAAUAGUAGGAUUGGAAAUUUUUAUCUUUAGUAUGUUAUAAUUAAUUUUCAUUUAUAAUAAGAUUUUUAUUAGUAUUUAAAUUUUUUAUUAAAAUACAAUAUAUAAUAUGGAAGUAUGGGUAAUAAUGAUAGAAUUAGUAUAGUUAGUGUGUAAAUAUUUUGUUAAUGAAAGGUUAAAUUAAGGAAUUCGGCAAAUAUAUUUUUCGCCUGUUUAUUAAAAACAUGUCUUUUUGAUCAUAAUUUAAAGUCUAGCCUGCCCAAUGAGGAGUUGAAUGGCCGCGGUAUUUUGACCGUGCAAAGGUAGCAUAAUCAUUAGUUUUUUAAUUGAAAGCUGGAAUGAAUGGUUGGACGAGAAAAUAGCUGUCUCAAUUUAAUUUUAAUUAGAACUUUAUUUUUAAGUAAGAAAGCUUAAAUAUUUUUAAAAGACGAGAAGACCCUAUAGAGUUUUAUAUUUUUUUAUGUAUGAAUAGUUUAGAAUUUUAAAUAUUUAUAAAUAAAAAAUUAUUUUGUUGGGGUGACAGAAAAAUUAGUUUAACUUUUUUUACUAUUUAACAUUAAUAUAUGAUUGAAUGAUCCGUUAGUUACGAUUAUAAGAUUAAAUUACCUUAGGGAUAACAGCGUAAUUUUUUUUGAGAGUUCAUAUCGAAAAAAGAGUUUGCGACCUCGAUGUUGGAUUAAAAUUAACUUUUGGUGUAGGAGCUAAAAGGUUAGGUCUGUUCGACCUUUAAAAUUUUACAUGAUCUGAGUUUAAACCGGCGUGAGCCAGGUUGGUUUCUAUCUUUAAAUUAAUAAAAUAUUUUAGUACGAAAGGACCAAAUAUUUAUAACAUUUAUUUUGUAUUUGAUUAUUAUU
rnacentral:rRNA from 1 species